rnacentral:rRNA from 1 species
UACGGGUGGCAGCAGUCGAGAAUUUUUCUCAAUGGGGGAAACCCUGAAGGAGCGACGCCGCGUGGAGGAUGAAGGUCUUCGGAUUGUAAACUCCUGUCAUUGGGGAACAAUGCGUAAAUAUUAACUGUAUUUACGUCGAUAGUACCCGAAGAGGAAGAGACGGCUAACUCUGUGCCAGCAGCCGCGGUAAUACAGAGGUCUCAAGCGUUGUUCGGAUUCAUUGGGCGUAAAGGGUGCGUAGGCGGCGCGGUAAGUCGGGUGUGAAAUCUUGGAGCUUAACUCCGAAACUGCAUUCGAUACUGCCGUGCUUGAGGACUGGAAAGGAGACUGGAAUUUACGGUGUAGCGGUGAAAUGCGUAGAUAUCGUAAGGAAGACCAGUGGCGAAGGCGGGUCUCUGGACAGUUCCUGACGCUGAGGCACGAAGGCCAGGGGAGCAAACGGGAUUAGAUACCCCGGUAGUCCUGGCAGUAAACGGUGCACGUUUGGUGUGGGAGGAUUCGACCCCUUCUGCGCCGGAGCUAACGCGUUAAACGUGCCGCCUGGGGAGUACGGUCGCAAGAUUAAAACUCAAAUGAAUUGACGG